GAACAGGGACAUGGCCCAGCACCGAAUCUCUCGCCUGGUUGAGCGGGUGCCGAGAAAUGUGGUGUUUGGGGAUGCCGUGCGCGCCUGUCCGAUUUUGUCCAAGUCUCCAUGAACGGGGCGAGCAACCCAUAGAGGGUGUUAGGCCCGUAGACCGACAAUUCGCGACCGUGUAUCGGGUUUCAUCCCUAAGAGUCGGGUUGCUUGAGAGUGCAGCCCUAAGCGGGAGGUAAACUCCUUCUAAGGCUAAAUAUCGCCACGAGACCGAUAGAGAACAAGUACCGCGAGGGAAAGUUGAAAAGAACUUUGAAGAGAGAGUUCAAUAGUGCGUGAAACCGUUCAGGGGGUUAAACGAGUGAGCCCUCGAAGGACGAACGUGGACUGCUACCCGGCAUUUGGUUGCAUGCCCCUCCGCCUGAAAUUAUGAGAUCUCCGGUCUACGGAGACUCUGGUGAAGGGAUCGGAUUAGCCGCGCCAAAGUCCGCAAGUUCAGCCACAAGUAGGACCCUGCGACCGAUUGGUGUGCUGGUUAUACGGUACGGUGUUUAGCGAGAUCUUGGCGGCGCAAGCCGUCUGUCGAGCGGCGUCGUAGUCCUAACCAUCCCUUGCCGAUCGUGACCUGUUUUCAUGUGGGAGUAAGCGG
rnacentral:rRNA from 1 species